AGUCGAGCGAACAGAAGGGAGCUUGCUCCCGGAUGUUAGCGGCGGACGGGUGAGUAACACGUGGGUAACCUGCCUGUAAGACUGGGAUAACUCCGGGAAACCGGAGCUAAUACCGGAUAGUUCCUUGAACCGCAUGGUUCAAGGAUGAAAGACGGUUUCGGCUGUCACUUACAGAUGGACCCGCGGCGCAUUAGCUAGUUGGUGGGGUAAUGGCUCACCAAGGCGACGAUGCGUAGCCGACCUGAGAGGGUGAUCGGCCACACUGGGACUGAGACACGGCCCAGACUCCUACGGGAGGCAGCAGUAGGGAAUCUUCCGCAAUGGACGAAAGUCUGACGGAGCAACGCCGCGUGAGUGAUGAAGGUUUUCGGAUCGUAAAGCUCUGUUGUUAGGGAAGAACAAGUGCGAGAGUAACUGCUCGCACCUUGACGGUACCUAACCAGAAAGCCACGGCUAACUACGUGCCAGCAGCCGCGGUAAUACGUAGGUGGCAAGCGUUGUCCGGAAUUAUUGGGCGUAAAGGGCUCGCAGGCGGUUUCUUAAGUCUGAUGUGAAAGCCCCCGGCUCAACCGGGGAGGGUCAUUGGAAACUGGGAAACUUGAGUGCAGAAGAGGAGAGUGGAAUUCCACGUGUAGCGGUGAAAUGCGUAGAGAUGUGGAGGAACACCAGUGGCGAAAGGCGACUCUCUGGUCUGUAACUGACGCUGAGGAGCGAAAAGCGUGGGGGAGCGAACAGGAUUAGAUACCCUGGUAGUCCACGCCGUAAAACGAUGAGUGCUAAGUGUUUAGGGGGGUUUCCGCCCCCUUAGUGCUGCAGCUAACGCAUUAAGCACUCCGCCUGGGGGAGUACGGUCGCAAGACUGAA
rnacentral:rRNA from 1 species